GCCCGCUUAGCUCAGUGGUAGAGCGCGUCACUCGUAUGCCAGUGAUGAUGAGGUCGGUUGUUCAAUCCAGCCAGCGGGCA
rnacentral:tRNA from 1 species